rnacentral:lncRNA from 1 species
UCCGAACAUCGAGUCUCAUUGCUAGAUGGUUAUAUCGAUUAAUAUAAAAAAUUAUUUCUAUGCUACCGACUUAGAUUCGAACCUAUGGGGUCACACAUAUUAGAAGAUACGAUCUGAUCUGAUAGUUGAAGAGUCCAAUUGGAUUGUGACUCUGGUGAAGAGUCCCACUGAACUGGAACUCUGGAGGAGAGUCCCACUAGAC